rnacentral:rRNA from 1 species
UACGAAGGGGGCUAGCGUUGUUCGGAAUCACUGGGCGUAAAGGGUGCGUAGGCGGAUUUUUAAGUCAGGGGUGAAAUCCCGAGGCUCAACCUCGGAACUGCCUUUGAUACUGGGGAUCUUGAGUCCGGAAGAGGUGAGUGGAACUGCGAGUGUAGAGGUGAAAUUCGUAGAUAUUCGCAAGAACACCAGUGGCGAAGGCGGCUCACUGGUCCGGAACUGACGCUGAGGCACGACAGCGUGGGGAGCAAACAG